UACGUAGGAUGCAAGCGUUGUCCGGAUUUACUGGGCGUAAAGGGCGCGCAGGCGGCUAUGUAAGUCUCACGUGAAAGCCCUCGGCCUAACCGGGGGGGUUCGUGAGAGACUGCAUAGCUAGAGUACAGCAGAGGAGAGCGGAAUUCCCGGUGUAGGGGUGAAAUGCGUAGAUAUCGGGAGGAACACGAGUGGCGAAAGCGGCUUGCUGGGAUGAAACUGACGCUGAGGCGCGAAAGCGUGGGGAGCAAACAGG
rnacentral:rRNA from 1 species